rnacentral:rRNA from 1 species
UCGUACGACCCCAUUCUGGCGCGGCUAGCGUAUUAACAGGUGUGACGCAGGAAGGUAGCCCAACCCGGGCGAUGGUUGUCCCGGGGCAAGUGCGUAGGCCGAGAGGUAGGCAAAUCCGCCUCUCAUAUAAGGCUGAGACACGAUGCGGAUAAAAAGUGGGUGAUCCUAUGCUGCCAAGAAAAGCAUCGACGCGAGGUUCUAGCUGCCCGUACCCCAAACCGACUCAGGUGGUCAGGUAGGGAAUACUAAGGAGAUCGAGAGAAUCGUGGUUAAGGAACUCGGCAAAAUGCCCCCGUAACUUCGGGAGAAGGGGGGCCAUCGACGUAUUAGGACUUGCUCCGAAAGCGUUUGGUGGCCGCAGAGACUAGUGGGUAGCGACUGUUUACUAAAAACACAGGUCCGUGCCAAGUCGCAAGACGAUGUAUACGGACUGACGCCUGCCCGGUGCUGGAAGGUUAAGAGGAGGGGUUAGCGUAAGCGAAGCUCUGAAUUUAAGCCCCAGUAAGCGGCGGUGGUAACUAUAACCAUCCUAAGGUAGCGAAAUUCCUUGUCGGGUAAGUUCCGACCUGCACGAAUGGCGUAACGACUGCCCAACUGUCUCAACCGCGAACUCGGCGAAAUUGCAAUACGAGUAAAGAUGCUCGUUACGCGCAGCAGGACGGAAAGACCCCGUGACCUUUACUACAGCUUGGUAUUGGUGUUCGGUGUGGCUUGUGUAGGAUAGGUGGGAGACUUUGAAGCUUGGACGCUAGUUCAGGUGGAGUCAUUGUUGAAAUACCACUCUGGUCACUCUGGAUAUCUAACUUCGAACCGUAAUCCGGUUCAGGGACAGUGCCUGGUGGGUAGUUUAACUGGGGCGGUUGCCUCCUAAAGAGUAACGGAGGCGCCCAAAGGUUCCCUCAAUCUGGUUGGCAAUCAGAUGGCGAGUGUAAGUGCACAAGGGAGCUUGACUGUGAGACUGACAAGUCGAGCAGGGACGAAAGUCGGGACUAGUGAUCCGGCAGUGGCUUGUGGAAGCGCUGUCGCUCAACGGAUAAAAGGUACCUCGGGGAUAACAGGCUGAUCUUGCCCAAGAGUCCAUAUCGACGGCAUGGUUUGGCACCUCGAUGUCGGCUCGUCGCAUCCUGGGGCUGGAGUAGGUCCCAAGGGUUGGGCUGUUCGCCCAUUAAAGCGGUACGCGAGCUGGGUUUAGAACGUCGUGAGACAGUUCGGUCCCUAUCCGCUGCGCGCGCAGGAAAUUUGAGAGGAUCUGACCCUAGUACGAGAGGACCGGGUUGGACGAACCUCUGGUGUGUCAGUUGUUCCGCCAGGAGCACCGCUGAUUAGCUACGUUCGGGAUGGAUAACCGCUGAAAGCAUCUAAGCGGGAAGCCGGCCUCAAGAUGAGAUUACCAUGCCUUCGGGCGAGAGGCUCCCAGCCAGACUACUGGGUUGAUAGGCCGGAUGUGGAAGCGUGGUAACACGUGAAGCUGACCGGUACUAAUAAGCCGAUGAUUUG